rnacentral:lncRNA from 1 species
CAUCUCUCUCCUUGAGAAAUGGAAACUCCACGGGAGCAAGGAAACGUUCAAGUCCAUUUUGGUAAAGAAUUAUAUAAUUUCCCACCCACGUUUUCCCCUUGCCCCAAGCCCCCAUCACCAGUUGCCAGGUGUGCCUGUUGUCGUGGCCCACCCCACUGGACUAGGUCAGCAAUGAUGUCACACAGGGCUCUGGAAGCUUGGCGCUCACUCAGCUCCCAGAAGUUCUCAGAGGGUGAGGGUCCCACAUCUCCUGCAGGACAGGCCCUAGCUACCGAGUCACAGAAACCCAGGGCCGAAGCAAAGUCCCAAUCCCAGAGAGGCUGGGGCAUACCUACAACUGAAAGGAGGCUUAGAAAUCCUUCAGAGACCACCCUAUCGGUUCUCCUCCACCUGGACAGGAUGAGCCAGCAACGCAGAAGGAAGAGGCCUUCCUCCGAAAGGUAUAGAGGCCAGAAGAGGUCAUUGUCUCCAAAUAGCAAGCAAGACCUCUCCGAGGCUGACUUUGUGCAGUCUGUAGGUGUAUUCAUGCCGUGGCUCAAAUCUUUAAAUCCAGCUUUAAAGGAUAAGAAACCUUCUCUUAGUCAUUUCUGAAUCAAGGACAUCUGUUGUAGAGGCUGGUAUGUAGCCAUUAUAGAUUAACUCUAUCCUGAGUGAAUGGAUGAGUGAAUGAUAUGAAUAUGCAAAUAAGAAUUCAUGCAUAAAAUCAGUAGUGCAAAAACUAUCUUGUUUAUGAUAUUAAAUAAAAUAAUUCCAUUUUAGAUCUUCUUGCUUCCCCAGUACGUAGGAAAUUUAAGUCCAUUAUUCUUAGGGUACCCCCGCUAGUGUUGUGCAAUGAUUGCCAGGGUCUGACAAAUGACCCAGGCAUUGGAGAAGGGCCUUAACACAGCCAUUGCCCAAACCCGUGGUGCCUCCAGAA